UAGAUGUUGUUGCCUCAAUGCCAUGCAUCCAGUAGUGAGCUUUAAUAUUUUUAUAUUGCAGUUUAAACUAACCCUUUGUGCAAUUUGCAGUAUAUUAUAGGGUUUUAAUAACCUUUUUCUCUUUUGCAUAGUCCUGUGUAUGUUCAGCCUCUAAGGAUGGCAGAUCCAGCAUCAGACUAUUUCCCUCACUCCCGAGCCCAGCGAGAUGGGUUUGACUAUCCCAGGAAGGAUUUGCCUUAUCCAGUUUAUCCAGAGGCGAGACAGUACCGGAGAUACUAAGAACAAGUGCUUCCUAUAUCAGAAAUGUCUUGGAAAGCUGCAUAAUUACUGGGCAAUCCAGGUGCUGAGAGAGCAGCGAGACCCUGGUGGGACACAGAGGAAAUUGCCAUUCUUAUUAGAUAGCACUAAGUUAUUGCAAAGAAAAGGUAUAGAGGAUAAUUGUAAAAGAAAACCUGAUAUAACAUGACAUUAACAUCUGAUUUAUUUGCUAUGUAAUUGGUGACGGCUUCCUGUGAAUCCCUGAUACUGGAGUGCACAAGGGUCUGGCCCUGGUAGUGUGGUACAAACACAGCCAAGGAUUUGGCUUCCCUCUGUCUCAAGAUUUAGCAAAUAUUUACAGGCCCAUUCCCUGUCCCUUGUCUUUUUUGCUUUGUCUUCUUUCUGUGCUGAUCCCAACAGCUGGAACGGUUUGCCUUUAGUACUGCCCUGGCUUGCUUUGUAACUUUUUUGUAAAUGAGGACAAUAAAUGAAGCUAUGGAAGAUUGACCACCUUGCCACUAAGUAACAAAUUAAAGACACUGAAGGCUGGGAUUUAUUUCCCAUUUUCCAAAAAGUCUGAAGCACAUUAUAUUGCGAUUUAUAUAAAAUGAUUUUCAUUAGUAUUAGGUAAUAUGUGAAACUAUAUGACAAAACUAGAAUAUUAAGGAUUUUAGAAAGGAUUUUUUGAUGCUUGUUUUCCCCUCAGUGUAACAAAAACUUCAAAGUGGCCAAAUUUCACUGGGUUUACUUCUACUGCUGCAAACUCUGUCAGAAAUAAAAGUGAGACUCGUUCCCUCUCUUAUCUUCAGAAACACACAGAAAUGGUGUUAGCACAUUUAUUUAGAUUCCAGACUAUCAGUUUAAACCAUUCUGACCUCAGAAAUUCAGAUCCAAAGGUGUCAGAAAACUGUGUCAGUGAAUUGCUUUUUCUGUCACUUCUCAGCCUCGGGUAGUGCCACAAUCUGACAAACAGUGGUGGUUGUUGACCUCAGUCCGGCUCUGUUGUACCAGCCUCAGAGUGACCACAGAAUCUGAGUGUUCAGUUUGAUAUUCCACCACUCCUCUGAAAAGGAGUAGGAGGCACAGAUAAGGCAAUGCUGUCAAUAUCCAUGGUGCUGGCAAGAGCAGAGCUGGCUAAACUGAGUCUCUCUCACUCUUUGCCCAAGUGUUCAGUUUUGUCGUUACCUUUUUCUGGUAUUUUUCCCUUCAUUCCUUACUUGUGUUGGGCAGUUUGAAAUUAUUUUGUCAUAAGAAUGUCUGUCUCUUGCUAGAGCUAGACUAAACGACUGGAAUGUUUUUCUUACUGAAUUUACUUUGGGGUGUGCUGUGUUAUGUGGCUUUACCAUUUAAAACAAAAAAUAAAGGGGAGGAGGGUCAAAUAUAAGUCUCCAAAUUCUCUGCUAAGGAGAUGAAAGUCCAGGAGGAUUAAUCUUUUGAGAAUUACAGAAGCUCCAUGGCUCUCUUGUCCUGAGGAGCCCAGAACUGGACACAGCACUCCAGCUGUUGUCAGUAGGGUCACCUUGGGAUGCCCCAUCUCAGGUUGUCCACCCUGGGUUGCCCAC
rnacentral:lncRNA from 13 species